AAUCAACGCUGGCGGCGUGCCUAACACAUGCAAGUCGAGCGAGAAAGUGUAGCAAUACAUGAGUACAGCGGCGCACGGGUGAGUAACACGUGGGUAAUCUGCCCUUGAGUGGGGAAUAACACCGGGAAACCGGUGCUAAUACCGCAUACGAUCACGAUGUCUGCGGAUGUUGUGAUGAAAGGAGCAAUUCGCUCUUGGAGGAGCCCGCGGCUGAUUAGCUAGUUGGUAAGGUAACGGCUUACCAAGGCAACGAUCAGUAGCCGGUCUGAGAGGACGGUCGGCCACACUGGAACGGAGACACGGUCCAGACUCCUACGGGAGGCAGCAGUGGGGAAUUUUUCGCAAUGGGGGCAACCCUGACGAAGCAACGCCGCGUGGGUGAUGAAGUCUCUUGGGACGUAAAACCCUUUCGACGGGGAAGAAACCGCAAGGUUGACGGUACCCGUAGAAGAAGCCCCGGCUAACUCCGUGCCAGCAGCCGCCGUAAAAC
rnacentral:rRNA from 1 species